GAUAAACGCUGGCGGCGUGCAUGAGACAUGCAAGUCGAACGAACGAGCUUGCUCGUUAGUGGCGGACGGCUGAGUAACGCGUAGGUGACCUGCCCCGAAGUGGGGGAUAACUGCCCGAAAGGGUGGCUAAUACCGCAUGUGGCGACGUCUUCAGUGACGUCAUCAAAGCCGCGAGGCGCUUCGGGAGGGGCCUGCGUCCGAUUAGCUCGUUGGUGGGGUAAUGGCUCACCAAGGCGACGAUCGGUAGGUGGUCUGAGAGGACGAUCACCCAGACUGGGACUGAGACACGGCCCAGACUCCUACGGGAGGCAGCAGUCGGGAAUUUUGCUCAAUGGGCGCAAGCCUGAAGCAGCAACGCCGCGUGAGGGAUGAAGGCCUUCGGGUUGUAAACCUCUUUUUCCAGGGACGAUGAUGACGGUACCUGAAGAAUAAGUCACGGCUAACUACGUGCCAGCCGCCGCAGUAACAC
rnacentral:rRNA from 1 species